rnacentral:rRNA from 1 species
GAUGAACGCUGGCGGCGUGCCUAAUACAUGCAAGUCGAGCGAACGGACGAGAAGCUUGCUUCUCUGAUGUUAGCGGCGGACGGGUGAGUAACACGUGGAUAACCUACCUAUAAGACUGGGAUAACUUCGGGAAACCGGAGCUAAUACCGGAUAAUAUUUUGAACCGCAUGGUUCAAAAGUGAAAGACGGUCUUGCUGUCACUUAUAGAUGGAUCCGCGCUGCAUUAGCUAGUUGGUAAGGUAACGGCUUACCAAGGCAACGAUGCAUAGCCGACCUGAGAGGCUGUUCUGCCACGCUGGAACUGGUAUACGGUCCUAAGCCCCACGGGAUGCAGCAGUCUGGAACCUUUCGUCAUGGGCGAAACCCUGACCGAGUCACGCCACGUGAGUGAUGAAUUUCUUCGGAUCUUAAAACUCUGUUAUUAGGGAAGAACAUAUGUGUAAGUAACUGUGCACAUCUUGACGGUACCUAAUCAGAAAGCCACGGCUAACUACGUG